UUCGGUCUCCACAGGAGGUCAAAAGAGGGAAAAAGAAAAACAGAGGGCAGCAUAAAAUGAGUGGGCUGGGAAUGGCAGCUAAAAUUAGGGCUUCAACUCAGAUAAUAGAAUGAGGCACAGAGAGAAGGGAUGUUUCAGAGGGUGGUUGCCCCUCUCUGAGAGCCCAUGAUUUCAUUUUUACAGUGGUCAAAUCAACAACCCUUUUUGUGUGUGUCUGUGUGUGAAUAUAUGUAUAUAUGGUAUGUAUGUCUGUCUGUCAGUUUGCUGCUCUUCUUCUUCUUCUUACCAUAAUAAUCAUCAUCAUAUCAUCACCACUGAUGGCUAGUACUGCUUCUACUACUGAGCUACUACAAUACGAGGCUGUGAUGACAAAAAGAUAAAUUUCUGAGUCAAAAUCGGGUAAUGAGGUAAUGUGACUCGUAUCUUGGCGGGGCAACCCUGGGGAAGGUAUGUGAGACAGAGAGAGAGAGAGAUUGAUUUGUUGGAAUCAUCUUCACUCACAUGCAACUCUUGGUUGCAGCCAUGGCGAUGUCACCCUCUUGCCUGAUAUUUUACGGAUCUGAGCCUCACCCUUUCCGUUCUCUCUCUCUCCAGUUGUAUAGUUGUCUAUUACUAUUAUUUUCAUUCAUUAAUUAUUUUGCUAAUUCAAUAAAAAUGAAUUUAGA
rnacentral:lncRNA from 1 species